rnacentral:rRNA from 1 species
UUUAGCCAUAGUUUAAAUGAUUAUAUGGUAUAAUAAAAUCGGAGGCCACGACUGUUUACUAAAAACACAAUUCAGAGCAAUGAUUAAGAUAAUAGUAUUCUGGAUGAAAUUUGCUCAAUGCCAUUAAUAUAAGAGAGGUAAUUUUAAAGUUACUAAUCGAAAAUCUGGUUAAUAGCGGUCUUAACUAUGAGGAUCCUAAGGUAGCAAAAUAAAUUGGCCAUUAAAUGUGGUCUUGUAUCAAUAAUGUAACGAUGGUCUCACUGUCUCUACAACUUGCUCAGUGAAAUUGAAUUGCGAGUGCAGAUGCUCGCUGUCUUCAGAGGGACGGGAAGACCCUAUGCACCUUUCUACUGA